GCGAGGGUGGCGGAACUGGCAGACGCGCAGGCCUUAGAAGCCUGUGGGGAAACCCGUGCGGGUUCGAUUCCCGCCUCUCGCACUA
rnacentral:tRNA from 1 species